AAAAGUGACAAAAAGGUGAAAAGGGUUUAAUUUGAUCAUGAAACUAGUGUUUUUUCUGUGUUUGCUACUCCUUCCAUUGUGUUCUUAUGGUUCCGAUGAGGCCAAAUAUGUUGAUCUCUCCAACAGCAAGAUUGAUGAUGAAGUGGGCGUAACGGACUACGAGGCACCAGGAGCCAACUGUAAACAUGACCCAAGUUGUCGACGUGGACAUCAUCCGCCAUACUCCGGGGCCCACGCUCCUUUCUUUAAGACAUGAAAAAAAAUAUGUCCAUUCUCUGUAAUUUUUAUCGAUAAGAAUAAAUAAAAAGAUAUGAACAAAACAAAUUUUAAUUUUAUAAUUGUUUUUUACUAUAACUCUGCA